GCUCCCGUAGUGUAGCGGCCAAUCAUCUAAGCCUCUCGAGCUUGGGACUCGGGUUCAAAUCCCGACGGGAGCA
rnacentral:tRNA from 2 species